UUACGGCCAUAUCAUAUUUAAACACCGGUUCUGAUACGACCACUAAAGUUAAGCAACGUCUAGCUUGGUCAGUACCUAGACGGGUGACCGCUUGGCAAUACAAGGUGCUGCAC
rnacentral:rRNA from 1 species